rnacentral:rRNA from 1 species
CUCACUAAGCUGAUACUGACGCUGAGGCACGAAAGCGUGGGGAGCGAACAGGAUUAGAUACCCUGGUAGUCCACGCUGUAAACGAUGAUCACUCGCUGUUUGGCAAUACAUCGUCAGCGGCUGAGCGAAAGCAUUAAGUGAUCCACCUGGGGAGUACGUCGGCAACGAUGAAACUCAAAGGAAUUGACGGGGGCCCGCACAAGCGGUGGAACAUGUGGUUUAAUUCGAUGAUACGCGAGGAACCUUACCUGGGCUUAAAUGCAGAACGACGGUUCCCGAAAGGGAUCCUUCUUCGGACGGACUGCAAGGUGCUGCAUGGUUGUCGUCAGCUCGUGCCGUGAGGUGUCGGGUUAAGUCCCAUAACGAGCGCAACCCCUAUUGUUAGUUGCCAGCGAGUAAUGUCGGGGACUCUAACGAAACUGCCGGUGUAAACCGAGAGGAAGGUGGGGAUGACGUCAAAUCAGCACGGCCCUUAUGUCCAGGGCUACACACGUGUUACAAUGGUCGAUACAGAGAGAAGCUACUUGGCGACAAGAUGCUAAUCUCGAAAAUCGUUCUUAGUUCGGAUUGGAGUCUGCAACUCGACUUCAUGAAGCUGGAAUCGCUAGUAAUCGCACAUCAGCCAUGGUGCGGUGAAUACGUUCCCGGGCCUUGUACACACCGCCCGUCAAGCCAUGGAAGCCGGGGGUACCUAA